rnacentral:rRNA from 1 species
AGUGAACGCUGGCGGUAGGCCUAACACAUGCAAGUCGAACGGCAGCACAGUAAGAGCUUGCUCUUACGGGUGGCGAGUGGCGGACGGGUGAGGAAUACAUCGGAAUCUACUUUUUCGUGGGGGAUAACGUAGGGAAACUUACGCUAAUACCGCAUACGACCUACGGGUGAAAGCAGGGGAUCUUCGGACCUUGCGCGAUUGAAUGAGCCGAUGUCGGAUUAGCUAGUUGGCGGGGUAAAGGCCCACCAAGGCGACGAUCCGUAGCUGGUCUGAGAGGAUGAUCAGCCACACUGGAACUGAGACACGGUCCAGACUCCUACGGGAGGCAGCAGUGGGGAAUACUGGACAAUGGGCGCAAGCCUGAUCCAGCCAUACCGCGUGGGUGAAGAAGGCCUUCGGGUUGUAAAGCCCUUUUGUUGGGAAAGAAAAGCAGCAGGUUAAUACCCCGCUGUUCUGACGGUACCCAAAGAAUAAGCACCGGCUAACUUCGUC